GAUGAACGCUGGCGGCGUGCCUAACACAUGCAAGUCGAGCGAACCCUUCGGAAGAGAGCGGCGGACGGGUGAGUAACGCGUGGGUAACCUGCCCUGUACACACGGAUAACAUACCGAAAGGUAUGCUAAUACGGGAUGACAUAUGAAAGUCGCAUGGCUUUUAUAUCAAAGCUCCGGCGGUACAGGAUGGACCCGCGUCUGAUUAGCUAGUUGGUAAGGUAACGGCUUACCAAGGCGACGAUCAGUAGCCGACCUGAGAGGGUGAUCGGCCACACUGGAACUGAGACACGGUCCAGACUCCUACGGGAGGCAGCAGUGGGGAAUAUUGCACAAUGGGCGAAAGCCUGAUGCAGCAACGCCGCGUGAGCGAUGAAGGCCUUCGGGUCGUAAAGCUCUGUCCUCAAGGAAGAUAAUGACGGUACUUGAGGAGGAAGCCCCGGCUAACUACGUGCCAGCAGCCGCGGUAAUACGUAGGGGGCUAGCGUUAUCCGGAAUUACUGGGCGUAAAGGGUGCGUAGGCGGUCUUUCAAGCCAGAAGUGAAAGGCUACGGCUCAACCGUAGUAAGCUUUUGGAACUGUAGGACUUGAGUGCAGGAGAGGAGAGUAGAAUUCCUAGUGUAGCGGUGAAAUGCGUAGAUAUUAGGAGGAAUACCAGUAGCGAAGGCGGCUCUCUGGACUGUAACUGACGCUGAGGCACGAAAGCGUGGGGAGCAAACAGG
rnacentral:rRNA from 1 species